rnacentral:rRNA from 1 species
CAGUAGCCGCGGGAAUACCGAGGGUGCGAGCGUUAAUCGGAUUUACUGGGCGUAAAGCGUGCGUAGGCGGCUAAUUGAGUCGGAUGUGAAAUCCCCGAGCUUAACUUGGGAAUUGCAUUCGAUACUGGUUAGCUAGAGUGUGGGAGAGGAUGGUAGAAUUCCAGGUGUAGCGGUGAAAUGCGUAGAGAUCUGGAGGAAUACCGAUGGCAAAGGCAGCCAUCUGGCCUAACACUGACGCUGAGGUACGAAAGCAUGGGGAGCAAACAGGAUUAGAUACCCCUGUAGUCCCUGUCUCUUAUAC